UACGAAGGGGGCGAGCGUUGUUCGGAUUUACUGGGCGUAAAGGGCGCGCAGGCGGCUCAUUUUGUCAGGCGUGAAAGCCCCGGGCUUAACCUGGGAACUGCGUUUGAUACGGAUGGGCUAGAGUUCGGGAGAGGAGAGUGGAAUUCCCAGUGUAGAGGUGAAAUUCGUAGAUAUUGGGAAGAACACCCGUGGCGAAGGCGGUUCUCUGGAACGCAACUGACGCUGAGACGCGAAAGCAUGGGGAGCGAACAGG
rnacentral:rRNA from 1 species